rnacentral:ncRNA from 1 species
CGACCUCAGAUCAGACGUGGCGACCCGCUGAAUUUAAGCAUAUUAGUCAGCGGAGGAAAAGAAACUAACGAGGAUUCCCUCAGUAACGGCGAGUGAACAGGGAAGAGCCCAGCGCCGAAUCCCCGCCCCGCGGUGGGGCGCGGGAAAUGUGGCGUACGGAAGACCCACUCCCCGGCGCCGCUCGUGGGGGGGCCCAAGUCCUUCUGAUCGAGGCCCAGCCCGUGGACGGUGUGAGGCCGGUAGCGGCCCCCGGCGCGCCGGGCCCGGGUCUUCCCGGAGUCGGGUUGCUUGGGAAUGCAGCCCAAAGCGGGUGGUAAACUCCAUCUAAGGCUAAAUACC